rnacentral:lncRNA from 1 species
UGAGACAUAAAUGCAGAAAACCUGCUCUUGGAUGCUGAUGUGAAAGUCAAAAUUUCAGACUUUGGCUUAAGUAGCAAAUUUGUCUUUGGCAACAAGAUGGAUACCUCCUGUGGCAGUCCCCCAUGGGACCCUAAAUUCUUCCAGGGCCAAAGGUAUGAUGGGCUUGAGGUUGAUGUGUAGAACUUGGGAGUCAUAUAUACACUGAUCAGUGGGGCUCUGCCUUUUGAUGCACAGAAAUUCAAGGAGCUGUGAGAGGAAGUACUGAGAGUGCAAUACCAUAUUCCCUUGUACAUAUCCAUGGAAUGUGGAAACCUGCUCAAGAAAUUUAUCCUUCUAAAUCCCAGCAAGAGAGUCAUAUUAGAGAAAAUAAUUAAAGAUUGAUGGAUGAAUGUAGACCAUUAAGAUAAUAAACUAAAGCCAGAUGUAGAGCCAUUCCCUGACUAUUAGGACUCCAGUGGACUGAGUUGACAGUGUCUGUGGUUACAUACUGGAAGAGACCCAGGACUCACUCAUGGGCCAGGAGUACAAUGAAGUGAUGGCCACCUAUCUGUUCCUUAGCUAGAAGAGGUCUGAGUUGGAGGACUGCACCAUCAUUCUGAAGCCCAGUUUUCAGUUGAUUUGAGCAAUAGCAGUGUACCUUUCCAUCCCAUAGAGUACAGCACAGCAACUCUGCCAACCCCAUACAGCUGAGUUCCAGAAAGCCUGCCAAUUCCCACCUUUAAUUCCCACUCUCAGAAUACCCAAAGUAGCAAUGCAGAAAAUCAGUGGCCUGUGGAGGACCAGGAGUCAGGGACGAAGACCAACAGUAUAGCCAGUGGGUCUGCCAGGCCCCUCCAUGGUCUGGAGAGGAAGAAAAAAAACCCUCCAAAGCAAUUUCUCCACAAACACAAAUCAAAGCAGAAAUUUACAACUUUUGGAGAGGGCCAGCCUUGGUGAGUUAUCCACUCAGCAUGGAAAAGACUGCCUGACUAUGCCGGGGUUUGGGUCUCCAUGGCUUCUGCUUCCACCAUAGUGUCCCCAGUUCCUCGCCUUGGUUCAGCAUAAUCCUGCCUCAGACCUGACCCCAGGAGAAUAACUCUCUAUUCCAGUGCAAGGCCCCAGGAUGUUCCUGGGUUUUGGCCUAUGCUUCACAAACAGCCUUUGCAGUAGUGGUGGUUUCUGACAGAACCAACUUUCUCAGAGUGUGUUCAAAGGAAACUUCAUUCUCACUGGCAUACUCCAAUAGAUGUAUGACUUGCAGAAUUUGCCAUAUGAUGUGACCCCAGUCUAGGGCCAGCUAUUGGGAACUUCUUCAGCAAGUUCUCAUUCAAAUGCAUACACAGAAAUCGAAACAACCUGAAAUAACCAGAAACCAAAGACCAAGUGAAGAUAUGGUCUUAUGUGGUGGGCAGCCAAGGCAAUGAUAAAGAGAAAUAAUUUCUCAAGGCCAAAAUGUGUCCACCACACUUUCCAUGGAGAAUGAAGAUCAUGAGCACCAUGGAACCUAAGGUGGAGAAGGUGCAGUAGGUAAACGGCAGUGUGUGAAAUGUACAAGGAGUAUGUGCCAUUUUGCAUGCAGGGCUUGCUGGGCCAAAGGCACUUCAUGCAAUGGAAGGUGGAGGUGUGUAAACUGCCCUGGUGAUCUCUCUGCAGAGUUCAAUUAAAGCAGGUAUCAAGCACUUUCAUGGCAAAAA